GGGCAAUGGCAGAGCCUUGCAGGAUAUCCUAAUGAGCCUAAUUGGUAGUGGGAAUCUGAGUCCCUGGAGAAUAGAGAUAGAAAGAAACCAGCAGACAAAGAGACAGGUAUUUUACUGAAAAGCUGCAAAAAUAGCCUGAGUUCCACAAAGCCGUUUUUAUGCUGAUUUCCUUCUGCUUCUGAUGGACCCUAUUUGCUGUAUAUGCUGCUCCUGUUGCUUCUCUUGCUUUCUUAGCUUCCCAGACAGUCAGUGGCAUUUGUUUCUGAUAGUUUGCAUUAGUGUCAAAGAGUCUGAGACCAGCAGCAGGUAGAUUAGUGAGGCUAUCCUCCUGUGGGCAGAGUUUUGGCACUGCAGCUGACCAAGAUUUUUGCAGAUGUAGAGCCUACCAGAAUGCUUUGAACAGACAUAGCUGUGUCCAUAUCAAAAGAGCACUGAUGGUAGGAUGCUCAAAUAAUUUCCAAACAGAAGAAGAAAACUGGCUUAUUCACUUGUGGAUCCCAUAAUUGAACUGGAAUCGUUGCUGGGAUGGGAUGACCAGAGAGGUCCAGAAGAUAUUUUCAAACCAUUUUCACAAUAGUUGAAAAUGAGUGGUAGAUUUCUAUGCAGGUUUGUGCUGGGCCAUACAGUUUGCAAUAGAUCUGAAAAUGGGGAGUGAAGUGACAAGGUUUGCUGAUAGUGCUAAAUUUAUUCAGAAUAUUAAGAAAUCUGAAUGAGGAACACAAGGUGCAUUUUGUGAAACUGACUGGUGAUGAAAAGACAAGUGAGAUUCACUUUUCACAAAUGCAAAGUAAUGCUGGUUGGAAAAAACAAUCCAUCUCUAUAUAUACAGUGAAGGUCUUUAAAUUAGUUAUUACUAUUCAGAAAGAGAUCUUGGAAUCUUUAUAUGCUUACUGCUUCAAAACAUCAGCACAAUGUUUAGUGGUGGUCAGAAAAGUAAACAGAGUCUUGAGAAUCAGGAAAAGAAUUGAGAGCAAAGCAGGAAAUAUCAUCAUGCCUCUGUAUAAAUCCAUGUUUUCCUCACAUUUUAAAUACCACUUGCAGUUCUGAUUAUAAUAAUAAAGUAUUAGAAAUGGAAAAAGUACAGAAAAGGUCAACAAGUAUGAUAAAUAGCAUGAAAUGGUUUCCACAUAAGAAAAGGUGAAAUAUUUUUAGAUGUUUUGAACUGAAUAAGAAAUAGAUAAUGACUAUCAAGGCAAAGGAGGAAUGGGAGAAUGAUUUUUAAUUAUUUCUUAUGAUACAGAAACAAGGAAGUGCUGAAUGAAAUUUUAAGCAGACAGAAGUCAAAGAAUAAGAAAUAUAUACAUAUUUUUUCCACAUGCGAUGUAAUUAAAUUGUGGAUAAUCUAGAUGAUGAAAGUUUAGAUGAUUUAAAAAAAAUCAAUUACUGUGAUCUAUGUAAGAAAUAUUCAUUAAAUGCUGACAAACACAAAGAUAAAACCUGGAACUCAAAGUCCGUAAGUUUCUCAUUGUUGUUAUCUCAGAGGAAAUGUAAGAGUAAAGUAUCACAGAAUGUCAGCCCCUUUCUUUUUUCUUAUUUUUUUCCCUGAGACGUAUUUUCUCAGAGACAGGAUAUGUCAGUAGGUGGGCUUUUGUCUGACCCAAUAUAGCUUUAUUCAUGUUAAGACUUAAUCACCCAAAUCUGUAUCCCACAACACCAGGUAGUGCAGCUGUUGGUUACACCAGUUUUCAGAGCAGAAUUCAACCUGAAGUAAUCCAGCCUUUUAACAGAAACUAACCACUGAGCUCAAAAAGGAUAAAAUAUUUUUAUGACGUCCUCGGACAACAAUGGACUGUGAAUCUGCUGUAAAAAAUCAUAGCUGUGCUUUUAUGUUUAAAACUUUCCCUGUUAAGCACUACUCUAAUCUGUCUCUCUUUCUCUCAAUUUCCCUGAAAAAAGGAAGUGGCGUGUGAACAAGUAGGAUUACUUGAUAAUAGUUCUGUAAACAUCAAAUGUAAAAAAGAAAUUCCUGGUACAAGGAAAAACCAUAAUGUAUUUUAGUGUAGCACCGAACAUGUAGCAGUGAAUACUGUAUAUAUAGAGUCGUGCUAUGAAAAUUAUAUGCAAGCGGCAAGGGUCUAACCAGAGAUAUUCAGACCUUCCUAGGCUUGUAAACCCAUGGGUAGAGGUGAUUUUUCUGUGCUGCUCUGUUCACUUAUUCUUUGAAGCUGAGACUUUACAUGGGUGUUAUAUCAUGUGCUAGGACUGGGAAGAGCAAUGAAUUUUCAGUUUAGGAGUAGACAACAGUUUCAAAGAACAGAGGAAAUAGGAAGUUCCCACUGUGAGUCCAAAGACAAAGAAACUGGCUUCCUGGAAUAAAGCAAAGAGAGAGGUCAGCUGAGAGAAAUAUGAAGUAUACAGUUUUGGGGGAAAAAAAAAAAAGAGCCACUGAACAUAUGCAGUCUUUUCUGAAAAACACUUACAUCCCAGUAUCAUCUCUGUGUUAAACAAACAAAAAAUAUUUAUAUGUUCUUAAAUAUUGAAGGGUCCUAAAUGUCUUCUACAACAACAGACAUCAUAGAAUCACCUUAGAUGUCAUCUGGGACUCUGGAUGGCCUCCUACUGUCUCUCCUAGGGAAUACAUCCCAUGUUACAUCUGCUGUCACUGGUCCGCAAAGGCUUUAUUAGAUGUACAUGUUUUAGGUACCUGAAUCUCACCCUUCAUGUUAUUUCUACAUGAUGAAAACACUUCUGGGAAUAUGAAAGAGCUCUGUCUAUCUGCUCUUGUCUUGAUCAAGCUGUCAGUAUUCAUAGUCUAAACUUCCACCUGGAAUACUGCUGAGAAAUAUUUGCAAUUCUGUUAAAUAGAAAAAUUUCAAACACAAGAAACUUGGCAGGUGGGGUAUAUCAAUAUCUCUUACAUCGGCUGAGCUUUCCCUCUUCCAGCUCUUAAACAACACUAGCAAAAAUAGUAAUAAUCAAAAAUACAAAUCUAUUGUUGCAACGUAAUCUUUAAAUGCUAUUGCUCAUCUUGGAACCAAAAGUACUUGUUUGUUUGUUUUCCCUUGUUACUUUUCUGUUUCAAUUUAACAGGUGUUUUCAUCUGUAAUGGGUAAGAUGGAAGGAGUUUGAUGAAAGAUUUGUGUGUAUACGUAUAUAUAUCUAAAACAGUAGAAAACAGUAUAUAUUUUCAGUGUGGUUACACUUGGAAAG